UCCCUGGUGGCUCAGAUGGCAAAGAAUCUGUCUGCGAUGCAGAAGACCUGGGUUCAAUCCCAGUCCAGGGGU
rnacentral:tRNA from 1 species